GGGCGCGUGCUUACCAUGCAAGUCGAACGAUGAAGCCCUUUCGGGGGUGGAUUAGUGGCGAACGGGUGAGUAACACGUGAGCAACCUGCCCUUGACUCUGGGAUAAGCCUGGGAAACUGGGUCUAAUACCGGAUAGUACUCCUCAUCGCAUGGUGGGGGGUGGAAAGCCUUGUGCGGUCUUGGAUGGGCUCGCGGCCUAUCAGCUUGUUGGUGGGGUGAUGGCCUACCAAGGCGACGACGGGUAGCCGGCCUGAGAGGGUGACCGGCCACACUGGGACUGAGACACGGCCCAGACUCCUACGGGAGGCAGCAGUGGGGAAUAUUGCACAAUGGGCGGAAGCCUGAUGCUGCGACGCCGCGUGGGGGAUGACGGCCUUCUGGUUGUAAACCCCUUUCAUUANGGAAGAAGCGCAUUUGACUUUUCCUGUU
rnacentral:rRNA from 1 species